AUACGUAGGGGGCGAGCGUUGUCCGGAAUUACUGGGCGUAAAGGGCGUGUAGGCGGCCGGUUAAGUCAGAUGUGAAAGGCCUCGGCUUAACCGAGGCAUUGCAUUUGAAACUGGCCGGCUUGAGUGCAGGAGAGGAAAGUGGAAUUCCUAGUGUAGCGGUGAAAUGCGUAGAUAUUAGGAGGAACACCAGUGGCGAAGGCGACUUUCUGGACUGCAACUGACGCUGAGGCGCGAAAGCGUGGGUAGCGAACAGGAUUAGAUACCCUGGUAGUCCACGCCGUAAACGAUGGAUACUAGGUGUAGGGGGUGCUUAUACCUUCUGUGCCGUAGUAAACGCACUAAGUAUCCCGCCUGGGGAGUACGGCCGCAAGGCUGAA
rnacentral:rRNA from 1 species